ACCAGUAGCCAUCGUAUCAGUCAGCUUCAGUCUCCCGUUAUCAGACAGCUCUAGUUACCGAACAGAGUGAAACUCAGACGAACCAGCGAAAAUGGCUUCAAUCUCUCCAUCUUCCGCAAUGUUGAAGGCUUGAAGCAUACGAAAAAGGCAUCGUUUCCCGUCCAAGAAGUCAAUUGCGGUCUUGCAGUUUCGCUUUUGAGUCGGGCUUCUUUGGCCCCAAAUUUCCCACGGGACCGGACAACUCGUUGAACCCGACCUGAGUUCUGUCGAGUUUUACUGCUCGAGUUCCCUCUCUGCUUCUACUCACACCUUCGACGUUGUGAUCAUCGGCGCCUGUAUCAUUGCGUUGACGAUCGCCCGUCAAUUUAUCGGGUCGGAUCUUUCUGUUGCGGUGGUCGAUAAGGCCGUCCCUUGUUCUGGUGCCACUAAUGGAGGUUAUCCCUACUUUUGAUCGCCAGAUUUGGUUUCUAUUAUUGUAACAUAAUAAAAAAACGAGAUAUCCUCAUUCAGAUGAGCGUAAUGGUUGAGUUCAAUAUUCCUUUCUAUACCUAUCGAAGAAAGAACCCAUUCUAUGAAAAUCAUUGCAAAUUUCAAGUGGACUUUGCAUACAAACUACUGGCGAGUUAAUUGGGAGAUUCGAAUAAGACUUGUAAUUAGCUGUUGAAACAAGAAAUGUAUUGGUGCGAGCAUUAACUGUAUUUUCUUUGGUGGUAAAUUCCUCAACAUUGCACUCUCAUCUUUCAUGAUAUUCUGUCAAGUGUCAACCCAAUGCAUCAAUGUCCUGUCCUGCCUUGGAAUUUCAGGGAAAGGAUUGAUUGAUCAUGGGCAGGCUCUUUCUGUUUCAAUGACAGCCACAAUGGAUACUGUGGGAAUCCAUGUUCUUGGAGUAGUCUCCAAUUCGCUGGGUUCAGCACUAAGGUGGAUGAUUCUAUUAUUGGAUAUAUAUGGAAGUGGGCUGCAGGGUUCUUUCCAGUUUCCUCAAUUGAAAGAAGUUUCAGAUUUCACUUUGAGAAGAAAAGUGAGAAUAGGUUUACACCUUUACGUGCCUGAUGGGAAGCCUAUGAUUGGGCCUCUGUGGUGUGCUUGGUUUGUCAAAUAUACACAUUGCUACUGGACAAUGAAGGUUGCGGACUCUCAAUGGUACCAUUCAUUCUCUUUUCUGAUAAAGUAUAGGUGUUGGUUUCCAAGUAUAGGUAGGCAUAUAGAUUGCUAUUCUUGUCCAUCUUGUCAUAAUAACUGUGCAACUGAGCCAAGGACAUGCUAGAGAUUAGUCACAGUUGGUGAGUUUCCAUUAUUAUUCAAGUUAUACGUUUGUGCCUUUUUUCUCCACUUUUCAGGCUUUGGGGACCAUUGAAACGGUUGCGAACAUGGUGUUGGGCAAACUGGAAAUGUUGAUUAUGCACCAUUUGUGGUUCAAGGAUGAUCUUGUUGAUACUAUAUGCACUGGAAACUGUGCAGCAUUCAUACCAUGGCGAUCGGGAUUUGAUAGCCUUUUGUUUAUAGAAUAUUUUUGGUGAAUUCUUAAGGUUAAAGAAUUGAGGAAGCUUUUCUUGCCUGCAACUGCAGUUUUCACAAAAUGGUGUUGAUGGUUCCAACUAUAAAAGUAGCCUUGUGUGAUGCUGGGAGGGUAGGACUAAAGUUGUGUAGACAUCUAAGCUACCUACCAACAGGGGUAGCAGAAGCAUUAUAUAUUGCUUUGACCUUAUCAUCACCAUCAUCAAAGUCUUAGUUCGAAAGUUUUAUAAGGUCAGUUGCAUAAAUCUGUUAGAGAAAUUAGUUUGGAAUCCUCUACGUGAAUUCUCCUUUGUCAUUUGCACCAGUCUAAAACCAUGCUCUCAUGAUCUUACAUGUCCUUUUCUAUUAUUUCUAUCCAUAUCAUUUUGGCCUCUCUCUUCGCUUUUUUGUUUCUCCUAUUUGAAGUUUCCCAACUUUUCACACCAGAGCACCAAAAUGUCUAAGUUUUACUUGCCAGAACGAUCUUAGACAAUUUUCUAUCAUCUUAGCUUCAAUUGAAGCUACCGAUAUCCUAGAUCAAGAAGCCUUGUUCCUUAACUUGUCCCUCUUUGCUUCCACCAUGCAACACAACAUUUACAUUUAUGCCACACUCAUCUAUUGGACAUUUUGUCUCUUAGCAGCCCAAUAUUUCACACUGUAUAUCUUUCAUAGGCAUAUAACAUACCUAAAGAUUUUGCUGUUGGUGUUUCCUUUGGUCGCACAAGCCCACAGAUGCGCUUUUCCACUUCAACUAACCAGCAAUCUUGUGGGUAAUGUCCUCCUUAAUCUCAUUUUCAUUCUAAAUUAUUGACCUAGAUAUUUGAAAAUCCUUUUUUUUCCUGGUCCCUCUUUCUCCUGCUCAAUGCACUUAUGAUUAUACUCACCAUGCUUUACACAGUGUGCUAUAUUUUAUGAAACUUAGAUGGUCAAUGAUGUGAUUACCU